CUUCCUGUUUCACGUUGCACGGGCAACCUCCGAACGAUGUUCUGCAGCUUCUUGUCGUUGGCCAAGCACAGCCUGCAUUUUUACACCUUCUUGACUCGCUGGUGAAUAAAUCGCAAGAAAUAUCAACGGUGUGGUCAUUGAAGGCGUUAUCUGUCUGUCUCGCCGCAACGAGGGCGGAACACACAGUGCAUGAAAAUUGCUCGGAUAGUCUCCACCCGAAUUGAAGACAUAAUCAGGACAAGCAUUUCAGAAAACUGACGAAUAGAACUCCCCUUCUCAAGUUUGUCAUUCAGCUCCUCUUUUCUGCAGCUCCGCCAAAUGACCAACAGGGGGCCUCAGAGACACUUGGCCGCUUCCCCCCCAUGAUGCAAGUGAGGGCUUCUUCAUGGGUCUCACCCACAGCAACACCCGACGGCCGGGUGGUUAUACACAGACAAGGCCAUGCCAUUCCACCUGAGAACCUCCUUCCCAUUGUCCUGUGCAGGAGCUAGAUUUCACACACCAAAACGGAGACUCUCCUCGCAUGGCGGACGAGCCGGGCCGCAUCCUCUCCAACAUCUGCCACGUGGUGCCAGGCGCUGUGGUGUGUUUCUUGCCCUCAUACAAGCUGCCUUCAUCAAAAGGUGUGUGAUGGUGGCGGGAAUGUUCAUAUCAUAUCGCCGGAACUGCAGGAAAAGAUGUCGUACCCAAACAAACACCUGGUAAGACACCAUCCUGCUUCCCAUUUACAUGUAUUUUUUUUUUUUUUUUUUAAACAUGACAUUUGGUCUGCAUUCCAUUCGAGCGUCCGUCACUGCACCGUGCUGCACAUUCUCUCUUUGUGCUUGUAUCCGAGUGAAAAUAAAACAUUGUUUCAAAAUGAUGCCGCUUAAAGGCCCGGGUUUUUCCAUUUCUGCUCAACGCCCCCUCCCUCUUCCAGAAAUUGCAAAUUCCACCCAAGGUACUCUGUGUCCGUUGAAUUGAUAAUUGCGCAUUCUCAGGCCAA